UACGUAGGGGGCGAGCGUUGUCCGGAUUUAUUGGGCGUAAAGAGCGUGUAGGCGGCCAGGUAGGUCUGAUGUGAAAACUCGAGGCUCAACCUCGAGACGUCGGCGGAAACCAUCUGGCUAGAGUCCGGAAGAGGAGAGUGGAAUUCCUGGUGUAGCGGUGAAAUGCGCAGAUAUCAGGAAGAACACCCGUGGCGAAGGCGGCUCUCUGGGACGGUACUGACGCUGAGACGCGAAAGCGUGGGGAGCGAACAGG
rnacentral:rRNA from 1 species